GUCCAGAGAGGCCCACUGCAGACCUUGAGGCACCCAUGUGGAUAACGAUGAAAGUCUCUGCUGUUGACUAGGGGACGGGGACACCCCAGCGUCUGGUCACUACUCUCACAAACAGAAGUAAAGGGAAAUGGGAGCACGGCACUUUGGUACUUGGCGCAGACACAAGCUCCAGCGUUUCGUGUAAGGUUUUUCCUGGUUCUAGACUGAGGUAAGAAGUGGAGUUAUUCAGAUUCAGAGAGACGCACACUCCACAGACAGAAGUGGGCCUUCGCAGAGGAUGAGCGCUGUGUUUUUCCUUCAUAGACUGCCAUGCCUACAGGACAACAUGUGUGUGCGCUUGUGUGUGAGUGCCUUGGGCCACCAAGUACCUUUGGGCGGGUUGUGCACUGCACAAGAGUAUCACAUUUAAGGGGACACCCUCAUAGCGUCAACAUUGUGGAUUUAUAUUUGUACUAUGAUAACUAUCUUGAAAAUGGUAAUAAAAUUUUCUAACAAAAUCAGUACUU